rnacentral:rRNA from 1 species
AGUGAACGCUGGCGGUAGGCCUAACACAUGCAAGUCGAACGGCAGCACAGUAAGAGCUUGCUCUUACGGGUGGCGAGUGGCGGACGGGUGAGGAAUACAUCGGAAUCUACUUUUUCGUGGGGGAUAACGUAGGGAAACUUACGCUAAUACCGCAUACGACCUACGGGUGAAAGCAGGGGAUCUUCGGACCUUGCGCGAUUGAAUGAGCCGAUGUCGGAUUAGCUAGUUGGCGGGGUAAAGGCCCACCAAGGCGACGAUCCGUAGCUGGUCUGAGAGGAUGAUCAGCCACACUGGAACUGGGACACGGUCCAGACUCCUACGGGAGGCAGCAGUGGGGAAUAUUGGACAAUGGGCGCAAGCCUGGUCCAGCCAUACCGCGUGGGUGAAGAAGGCCUUCGGGUUGUAAAGCCCUUUUGUUGGGAAAGAAAAGCAGCAGGUUAAUACCCCGCUGUUCUGACGGUACCCAAAGAAUAAGCACCGGCUAACUUCGUG